rnacentral:rRNA from 1 species
UACGAAGGGGGCUAGCGUUGUUCGGAUUUACUGGGCGUAAAGCGCACGUAGGCGGAUCGUUAAGUCGGGGGUGAAAUCCUGGAGCUCAACUCCAGAACUGCCUUCGAUACUGGCGAUCUCGAGUCCGGAAGAGGUGAGUGGAACUCCUAGUGUAGAGGUGGAAUUCGUAGAUAUUAGGAAGAACACCAGUGGCGAAGGCGGCUCACUGGUCCGGUACUGACGCUGAGACGCGAAAGCGUGGGGAGCGAACAGG